rnacentral:rRNA from 1 species
UGGAGGGCAAGUCUGGUGCCAGCAGCCGCGGUAAUUCCAGCUCCAAUAGCGUAUAUUAAAGUUGUUGCAGUUAAAAAGCUCGUAGUUGAAUUUCGGGGUUCAUACGUUGGUCGGGCUUUUUGGUCUGUACUAGCGUAAUGGAUUCCUACCUUCUGAAUAACCGGCACGCCAUUAAUUUGGUGCGCCGGGGAAGCAGGACUGUUACCUUGAAAAAAUUAGAGUGCUUAAAGCAGGCUAUCGCCUGAAUACAUUAGCAUGGAAUAAUGAAAUAGGACGGCAUGGUUCUAUUUUGUUGGUUUCUAGGAUCACCGUAAUGAUUAAUAGGGAUAGUUGGGGGCAUUAGUAUUCAAUUGUCAGAGGUGAAAUUCUUGGAUUUAUUGAAGACUAACUUCUGCGAAAGCAUUUGCCAAGGAUGUUUUCAUUAAUCAAGAACGAAAGUUAGGGGGUCGAAGACGAUCAGAUACCGUCGUAGUCUUAACCAUAAACUAUGCCGACUAGGGAUCGGACGAUGUUAAUUUUUUAAUGACUCGUUCGGCGCCUUACGGGAAAC